rnacentral:rRNA from 1 species
CUUUAUUGGAGAGUUUGAUCCUGGCUCAGGACGAACGCUGGCGGCGUGCUUAACACAUGCAAGUUGAACGCGAAAG